GCCACAGAUUCCAAAUAAAUAUCCCGAUGAGCUUCAGUGCAUCCAUAUUCAAUAUCUGAUUCAUUGUCCUCAGCUUUAAACAGAGAUCAUCUCUGUGUGUCUGCGCUGAACUGGACUUUUCCCACUUCUCUUUGUUGUGUCUCCGUCUUAACACCAGUAUUUUUAUGGUUAGGUGAAUUUGUUAGUUCUACAUGCCAAUAUUUUUUUUAUUCAGGUGUGGGAACAGUGGUUCAGAGGAUGCUCUUCAGGAAUGUUAAAUGAAGGUGGUGAAAUCCAUGUGCAAAGAUAUCUUAGGUCAGAUUACUGGACUGAUCACAUCAGCCUCCUGUGAGGUCUGUCUAAAGAAGACUAACAAAGGUUCAGUGCAGCGUCCUGAGAAGAUGGAUGUGAGGACAGAAGUACACAAACAUGUAGUUGUAGUGAGCUGCCAGUAAUUUUAGAUGGAUUUGUUCCUCUAACUCAUGUCUGUCUCUUUAUCAGCCCUGUGACACAUUGGUGACCUGUCCGGGGUGAACCUGCCUGUGCCUGCUGAGAUAGGCUCCAGCCUUCCACCCACACCCUGACAAUCAAAUGUGGACAGACUAACUUCUUUCUUAGAUUCAUUUUAUCUUCUAGUGUGUUCUUGCAUCAUUUUAACUUCUAGAGUGUUCUUGGAUUUGUGGCAUUAAUAUUAGAGCUAGCCAUCUUACUUAGAGAAUUCCUUCCAUGAGCCAUAGCCCCUGAGAUUAUUCCUAUAUUUAUUAUAUUAUCUAUAUUAUUUGAAGUCACUGUCAGUUUUUUUAUUUUACACUGAAAAUAAUACUGAGAAGUUAAAGAAUCCAUUCAUCCUCUUUCUUAACUGCUUGCUCAGUUAGUGGAGCUCUGCAGUGUAUUCCUGACACAGGGAACUAGGGGGGGUACAACCUGGACAGGCUGCCAGUCUGUUGUGAUGUGUUAAGCAAUGUAUUCAUAUUUAAUUGAAAAAUUAAUCAAUGAUUUUCAAUACAUUUAUGAUGCGUUUUUGAUUACUGAUUCCAAGAUGGCGUAGUGGUGUUUAUAGAAAUCCUGUUUGGGGUUUUAAAUGUUAUUUCUGUUUCCUGUUUGAGCAGCUCUGCAGUCACUGUCCAGGUGGGUCAGUGGGAGCAGAAGCCCUCUGCUAAUGUACAGGCUCUGAUCAGCAACAUCCAGCAAGACCCACACAGCCUCUACCUGCUGGAGCUUUUUGUUUGCCUGUGACUGGAGAGUCAGAUUUCUGUUGGGAGGUUGCAGCUCCCUGUGCUGGAGAAACCACUUCACACCUGCAGAGGGUCAGAAAACAAAACCACGAUGACUGUACAUGUUUCUUUCUCAGGUGAUAUGAUUGUGAGGAAGCAAAGCUCAGGAAGAAGGGAUCCCUGCAGUCCUGUUCUUUCAGCUCCAAGCCUGCUCAGAGAAAGCAGCAUAGCAGCAGACAGUUUGAGGGGUUUGGGCUCACAGAUGGUGACAGCAUGGAGAGACUGUGGUCCUUCCCCUGAAGACUGAUGUUCUUCUGCACUGCAGAAGGAGAGUUCUUAUAAACAUGGAGGAAAAAGAUGGAAGAAUCUGAGCUGAACAUCCUGUUUCCUGCUACAGAUGCUGACUGUGACCUCAGAGGACAGCUGGUCUGCAGAGUUACAAGUGAAUCAAGGCAGAGGUCAGUCUGCCUGCAGCUUCAAAGAAAGCAUCCAGACUCAGAUGGGCAGGAUCUCAGCAUCACACUGUCCAAACAGGCUCCAGCUUCAACAGCAGACUGAGACAGACAACAAGAGAAAACAGCAGCUUCAGUGGGCUCCACAGGUCAAAGGUGACAUUUCAAGGGGUCUUCAAAGAAGAAGGGACUGAUGUCAUGCAUCAAUCACAGCGAUUAUGAAGAUGACAGCGAGAGCAGCUACGACUGUAAAAGUCUGACCACGACUGUUUUGCUGCUUCCUGAUUAUUAAUGAAUGUUUGUGUCUUUUGUCAUUAAUUCUUUUGCCGUCAUUUGUUACAAAAAAAAUUUACCAAACUCAGUUUGUGUUAUUUAAUUUUUACAGGCCACACUCACUGCACACAAGAAAACAUUCAUUUUAGUCACUGAUGACUCAGUGACUUUAUAAAAGCUUUUAGUAGUCCAGCCAUUGACUAUUAACACUUACCAUAUUGUACCUGUACAGCAUGGUUUUGUAUAUGUAUGAGAUUUUUUUAAUGUUGAAGUCAUUUCCUGAUUUAGUUUGUAAUCUUUGUUGGUUUUCUCUGCUUUGGAACUGAUUGUGAGUCAGUGUGUAACCUCACCUGCUUCCCUUUGUUCCAAAAAAAAGUUUUUUUAUUUCUGUUUAUUUAAAUUUCCGUUUCAUUUUGAUCUGUGUUGUGUGACCCUUGCAGACUGGUUUGUGGACUGCUUGCCUCACUGUGUGUAACCACUGCCUGUUUUUGACUAAAGA